rnacentral:rRNA from 1 species
GAUGAACGCUGGCGGCGUGCCUAAUACAUGCAAGUCGAGCGAACGGACGAGAAGCUUGCUUCUCUGAUGUUAGCGGCGGACGGGUGAGUAACACGUGGAUAACCUACCUAUAAGACUGGGAUAACUUCAGGAAACCGGAGCUAAUACCGGAUGAUAUUUUGAACCGCAUGGUUCAAAAGUGAAAGACGGUCUUGCUGUCACUUAUAGAUGGAUCCGCGCUGCAUUAGCUAGUUGGUAAGGUAACGGCUUACCAAGGCAACGAUGCAUAGCCGACCUGAGAGGGUGAUAGGCCACACUGGAACUGAGACACGGUCCAGACUCCUACGGGAGGCAGCAGUAGGGAAUCUUCCGCAAUGGGCGAAAGCCUGACGGAGCAACGCCGCGUGAGUGAUGAAGGUCUUCGGAUCGUAAAACUCUGUUAUUAGGGAAGAACAUAUGUGUAAGUAACUGUGCACAUCUUGACGGUACCUAAUCAGAAAGCCACGGCUAACUACGUG